GAUGAACGCUAGCGGCAGGCUUAAUACAUGCAAGUCGAGGGGCAGCGGGAGUAGCAAUACUUGCCGGCGACCGGCGCACGGGUGCGUAACACGUAUGUAAUCUGCCCAUCGCAGGAGGAUAGCCCGGAGAAAUUCGGAUUAAUACUCCAUAAUAGAAGAUAAAGCAUUUUAUUUCUUGAAAGUUCCGACGGUGAUGGAUGAACAUGCGACUGAUUAGUUUGUUGGUGAGGUAACGGCUCACCAAGACUACGAUCAGUAGGGGUACUGAGAGGUUAAACCCCCACACUGGUACUGAGACACGGACCAGACUCCUACGGGAGGCAGCAGUAAGGAAUAUUGGACAAUGGCCGCAAGGCUAGACUCCAGCCAGUCGCCGCGUGACGAAGGAAGACCGGACCUA
rnacentral:rRNA from 1 species